UGUGAAAGAUAGUGAAUAAUGCUGUUUAUUUCAGUAUAUUACAUUAAUGGAAAUCCUAAAAACUGUAAAAUUAUUUCAGAUAUAAAUUAUCGUACUUUUUGCAUUACGGAUGUGCGAGUUUAUUCAUCGAAUAUACUAUUUGUA
rnacentral:rRNA from 1 species